rnacentral:rRNA from 1 species
AUUGAACGCUGGCGGCAUGCCUUACACAUGCAAGUCGAACGGUAACAGGUCUUCGGAUGCUGACGAGUGGCGAACGGGUGAGUAAUACAUCGGAACGUGCCCGAGAGUGGGGGAUAACGAGGCGAAAGCUUUGCUAAUACCGCAUACGAUCUCAGGAUGAAAGCAGGGGACCGCAAGGCCUUGCGCUCACGGAGCGGCCGAUGGCAGAUUAGGUAGUUGGUGGGAUAAAAGCUUACCAAGCCGACGAUCUGUAGCUGGUCUGAGAGGACGACCAGCCACACUGGGACUGAGGCACGGCCCAGACUCCUACGGGAGGCAGCAGUGGGGAAUUUUGGACAAUGGGCGCAAGCCUGAUCCAGCCAUGCCGCGUGCAGGAUGAAGGCCUUCGGGUUGUAAACUGCUUUUGUACGGAACGAAAGGCCCUGGGUUAAUACCCUGGGGUCAUGACGGUACCGUAAGAAUAAGCACCGGCUAACUACGUGCCAGCCGCCGCCGUAAGAC